UACGAAGGGAGCUAGCGUUGUUCGGAAUCACUGGGCGUAAAGCGCACGUAGGCGGAUGUGUCAGUCAGGGGUGAAAUCCCGGAGCUCAACUUCGGAACUGCCCUUGAUACAGCACGUCUUGAGUCCGGAAGAGGUGGGUGGAAUUCCUAGUGUAGAGGUGAAAUUCGUAGAUAUUAGGAAGAACACGGUGGCGAAGGCGGCCCACUGGUCCGGUACUGACGCUGAGGUGCGAAAGCGUGGGGAGCAAACAGG
rnacentral:rRNA from 1 species